UNUGACUUGAGUGCAGAAGGGGAGAGUGGAAUUCCAUGUGUAGCGGUGAAAUGCGUAGAUAUAUGGAGGANCACCAGUGGCGAAAGCGGCUCUCUGNUCUGUCACUGACGCUGAGGCUCGAAAGCGUGGGUAGCGAACAGGAUUAGAUACCCUGGUAGUCCACGCCGUAAACGAUGAGUGCUAGGUGUUAGGCCCUUUCCGGGGCUUAGUGCCGGAGCUAACGCAAUAAGCACUCCGCCUGGGGAGUACGACCGCAAGGUUGAAACUCAAAGGAAUUGACGGGGGCCCGCACAAGCGGUGGAGCAUGUGGUUUAAUUCGAAGCAACGCGAAGAACCUUACCAGGUCUUGACAUCCCGAUGCUAUUCUUAGAGAUAGGAAGUUACUUCGGUACAUCGGAGACAGGUGGUGCAUGGUUGCCGUCAGCUCGUGUCGUGAGAUGUUGGGUUAAGUCCCGCAACGAGCGCAACCCUUAUUGUUAGUUGCCAUCAUUAAGUUGGGCACUCUAGCGAGACUGCCGGUAAUAAACCGGAGGAAGGUGGGGAUGACGUCAAAUCAUCAUGCCCCUUAUGACCUGGGCUACACACGUGCUACAAUGGUCGGUACAACGAGUUGCGAGCCGGUGACGGCAAGCUAAUCUCUGAAAGCCGAUCUCAGUUCGGAUUGGAGGCUGCAACUCGCCUCCAUGAAGUCGGAAUCGCUAGUAAUCGCGGAUCAGCACGCCGCGGUGAAUACGUUCCCGGGCCUUGUACACACCGCCCGUCACACCACGAGAGUUUGUAACACCCGAAGUCGGUGAGGUAACCUUUUAGGGGCCAGCC
rnacentral:rRNA from 1 species